GGAAAAAUAAAGCAAAUAAUCACAUGCACAAAACCAAAUGAACAUGCAUAGUUAAAUAAAUUCAAUUAGAACUACUGUAUACACUUGGGGGUAACUUUGUUACCUUAAAGUACACAUAACCGAAAAUGUUUUGAACGUUCAGAAAACAUUAGCAAAAUGCUCUUAAAAUAUAUUUCUGUUAGCUGGGUAUCACUUCUGCUGUUGUUAAUGCAUUUAUAAUGUUGUCUGUUUUUACUCAGUUUCAUGGUAAUAAUUCUGCAUAUCAUUUGGCCUGUGCAGAUCAUUGUAAUAUUACUAGUUCAGCUAUUAUUACUCUUAUUACUAGUUCAGUUAUUAUUGUUAUAUGUGACCCUGGAGCGCAAAAGCAGUCUUAAAUCGCUGGGGUAUAUUUGUAGCAAUAGCCAAAAAUACAUAGAUUUUUAUUUUAUCUCAAAAAUCAUUAGGAUAUUAAGUAUUUUGUAAAUUUCCUACCAUGAAUAUAUCAAAACUUAAUUUUUGAUUAGUGAUAUGCAUUGCUAAGAACUUCAUUUGGACAACUUUAAAGAUGAUUUUCUCAAUAUUUAGACUUUUUACACCAUAAGAUUCCAGAUUUUCAAAUAGUUGUUUCUCGGCAUAAUAUUGUUCUAUCCUAACAAACCACACAUCAAUGGAGAGAUUAUUUACUCAGCUUUCAGAUGAUGUACAAAUCUCAGUUUUGAAAAACUGACACUUAUGAAUGGUUUUGUGGUCCAGGGUCACAUAUUUCUAGUUAAGUGACAUUUCGUCUUCACAUCUAUAGUUGCAAAAUCAAUGUAAUCAGUCAUGUCAGGGCGAAAAUAGUUGAAAUGCACUGCCAAUUUUUCCAUGAAUCUUUUUCUCUUCCUCAUAGCUUGUGGUUGGGUUUCAUUGGUGCUUGCAUGAGUGGGUGGCAUAUGACAGCACAGGUCUCACUAAACCCUUUUCAUUAUCGCUCUCUGUCUCUCUCGGUGCAUUUCUUCUCUCUGAGCUCUUGUUCUGUUCUCUUCAGUCAUCAGGGAGAUAUUACAGGAUUUUCAGUCACACACAGAGCUGAUGUGGAUGUUUCUGCUCCUCAUCGAUUCACUUUUUACACUCAUCAGAAGAGGAGAUUGUGGAGGGACGGUGAUAUGUGA
ensembl:lncRNA